AGCCUGAAGCCUCCGCUGUUCUCUUUUCACAGAAAAAGAUCACAAGAUCACAGUUCUGGGAAGAGAUUGCACGUCGUCUCCCCUGCAAAGCCAUCGCUUUUCGCCUCCAGCUAGUUGGGGGUCGUGCCUGGAAACCUUUGAGCUGGAGGAGUCUUACUAGUCCAGCGUGCGCCCAAAUUCCUCAAUGGUUAUACCAAUUAUAUACCGCCUUGAAAUCUGAAAAUCAGUUUGUUCAUUAACAACUGCGCUGAAACCGCCUUUCAAAAACAUCAACCAAAAUUUUCCCCUAAAAAAAAAAAAACGAAAAACGAAAGAAAUCUUAUCCACCAGAGAUAAAUAUUUCUGCACAUCAAAGAGCACAAACCUGAUGGGCUUAAUUUUUUUUUUUUCCUAGCAGGUCUUUGAUAUAAGGCUGACUACAGACCAGGGUUAUUAAGUACUUUGAGGACAUAAACUCGUUUCAUUUAAUUAAUAUAACGGGGUUGUUUGCAAAGCAAAGCAAAUAUUGGGGAACCUUCCCCCUAAUCGAAACAAAUCUGUAAAGAGAGGUAUGCUAGUUUAUUCGUGGUUCGGUAGAGAGAGUUAGAGAAGGGCCCGCGGGGCCGCCCCGGCCCGGGGUGUGAGUGUUUUACUGCUCUGCGAAGAUUUUUUUUCUUUUCUUGCAGCGGCCGGCGUGGUAGGCGGGUUUCCCAAGAGGUGUGUGUCCAGGAAAACACUCUUCCCUCCACGGAGGAGAAAGAGGCGACGCCCACGGCAAAGAGCAGUCCGGCGUCGGGGUUCGGGACGCGCCAAAGCCGGACUUCAGAUCUGAGCGGCCGCGGGCCCAAGCCGGCGUGGAGACGUCACCGCAUCUGGCCAGGCAGGGAGGCGGUGGCAGGACCCCUCCUCUCCAACUGUUCCUACCCUGCACCGAAGCCCGGCUUUGGGAGCUGCGGGCCACACCCGGAGACACCGGCGGCCGGAGAGGGCCAAGAACUCAGGCUUCUCCGACGCUACAGGUCUUCUUAAUUCUGCGGAAGGGACUUAGGACUCCUACUCACCGCGCCUGAUGUCUACACCACGGUUUUGGAGAAGCUGUCAACUCUGACAAACGAAGGAGCUGAAGGAAGCCAGGGGAGCCGCACCUGCCAACACCGCUGAAGCCCCGGGGCCGACCCCUCCCUGUCUGUUCUUUAAAGGUGCUUGGACUUUACUUGAUCCUUUGAGGUCCAGCAGUUGGACUAUCUGAGCGCUCAUGCCUGCGGACCGCCAGGUGAAUGUCUCAGGUGCGUCGCUUUCAGAAGCCCCGUUCCUGCGGGCUGUGCCUCUUAGUCUCCCCCACACCCCACCUGCUCCUUUGUCCUGGGUGUAGACAGAGACAUGCCCAUAAGCUUGCCUUUGUUCUCUGUAUACACGGAUGCUUGGGGACGCUUCUGAAAUGCAAAGAAAAAUAAUUGGGGGAAAAGGACUUAGGAACUAGUGGAACAUAUCAGAGCUGUAUGGGGCUCUUGUCACCUUCCUGCAUAGGAAUCUUAGUAGCAGGCAUAGAAAAGGAAAACCUCCAUGAAUGAGCCACACAGUAUCACUUUGUGUGCUGAGAUACCAGAGCAAGGGAGAAGUUAUGUCUAUAAGGUAUGUUCCUCAGAGUGAGCUUUUCCAUAAGGUAGUAUGACUGCUACACAUUCGACUUACAUAAUCCUCAAAAACUAUAGCAUAAGCUAGUAAAUACUGUUAUUAGUCCAUUUUACAGAUGGGAAAAGUGAGGCAUAGGGAAGUUGGUUGCUUGCAGCCUACAUUGGGAUAGAUACUAUAUAACCUCUCAGUUUCUUUGCAUUUCAUUUAUUAAGUUUU